UUCCGGUUCCCAUACGAUCACUGAAGUUAAGCAACGUCGAUCCUGAUCAGUACGUGGAUGGGUGACCGCUUGGGAAUACUAAGUGCUGUAAG